GACGAACGCUGGCGGCGUGCUUAACACAUGCAAGUCGAACGGAAAGGCCCUGCUUUUGUGGGGUGCUCGAGUGGCGAACGGGUGAGUAACACGUGAGUAACCUUCCCUUGACUUUGGGAUAACUUCAGGAAACUGGGGCUAAUACCGGAUAGGAUCUCCUGCUGCAUGGUGGGGGUUGGAAAGUUUCGGCGGUUGGGGAUGGACUCGCGGCUGUUCAGCUUGUUGGUGGGGUAGUGGCUUACCAAGGCUUGGACGGGUAGCCGGCCUGAGAGGGUGACCGGCCACAUUGGGACUGAGAUACGGCCCAGACUCCUAAGGGAGGCAGGAGUGGGGAAUAUUGCACACUGGGCGGAAGCCUGAUGCAGCAACGCCGCGUGCGGGAUGACGGCCUUCGGGUAGUAAACCGCUUUCGCCUGUGACGAAGCGUGAGUGACGGUAAUGGGUAAAGAAGCACCGGCUAACUACGU
rnacentral:rRNA from 1 species